rnacentral:rRNA from 1 species
CACGUAGGGCGCAAGCGUUGUCCGGAAUUAUUGGGCGUAAAGAGCUCGUAGGCGGUCUGUUGCGUCCGCUGUGAAAACUCGAGGCUUAACCCCGAGCCUGCAGUGGAUACGGGCAGACUAGAGGUAGGUAGGGGAGAAUGGAAUUCCCGGUGUAGCGGUGAAAUGCGCAGAUAUCGGGAGGAACACCGGUGGCGAAGGCGGUUCUCUGGGCCGGUACUGACGCUAAGGAGCGAAAGCGUGGGGAGCGAACAGG